rnacentral:rRNA from 1 species
ACGGGGGCCCGCACAAGCGGUGGAGCAUGUGGUUAAUUCGAAGCAACGCGAAGAACCUUACCAGGUCUUGACAUCCCGAUGCUAUUUCUAGAGAUAGAAAGUUACUUCGGUACAUCGGUGACAGGUGGUGCAUGGUUGUCGUCAGCUCGUGUCGUGAGAUGUUGGGUUAAGUCCCGCAACGAGCGCAACCCCUAUUGUUAGUUGCCAUCAUUCAGUUGGGCACUCUAGCGAGACUGCCGGUAAUAAACCGGAGGAAGGUGGGGAUGACGUCAAAUCAUCAUGCCCCUUAUGACCUGGGCUACACACGUGCUACAAUGGUUGGUACAACGAGUUGCGAGUCGGUGACGGCGAGCUAAUCUCUUAAAGCCAAUCUCAGUUCGGAUUGUAGGCUGCAACUCGCCUACAUGAAGUCGGAAUCGCUAGUAAUCGCGGAUCAGCACGCCCGCGGUCGAAUACGUUCCCGGGCCUU